ACUAGACCAAACCCUAAGGUGGGUAGUUUUCUACCUCGCCGCCGUGUCUCUCCAGUCUUCGCAUUGCCUCGGUUUCUUUGUUCUCCUCUCCAAAUUAGGUUACGUUCUAUUUGCAAGCGGCGACACUGUUUGUGGAAGAGACAGGUCUUCUGCCGAGUCGCGGCGAAUGCUGCCCGCUCUGCAGGAUGGUUCGCCAUCUUCAAUGAAUCGCAACAGGGUCAGCAACUCCCCGAAGAGGAACAAGAGUUUUAAAUUCUUCAACUAUUGCUCUAACUAUCCUAAUUUCCAUAAAAUUAUUGUAGACGUUUAGUUUGCUCCUCUGAAUAAUCGAUGCCAAACCCCUACCCCAAUCUUUAUUCUCAUAUAAAAGAUAAAAGGGGUCAAUGUUAGAUUGAAGAAAUGGUCACGUCAAGUUGUAAAAUAUGGUUCUACUAUCCUAUCAUUUGUUAGAGAGGAAUUAAGCAAUGUUCAAAACUCUUUCUUCGUUGCUC